AUUGAACGCUGGCGGCAGGCUUAACACAUGCAAGUCGAACGAGUGGCGGACGGGUGAGUAAUGCUUGGGAAUCUAGCUUAUGGAGGGGGAUAACUACGGGAAACGGUAGCUAAUACCGCAUACCAUCAGAUGUGCCCAGCUGGGAUUAGCUAGUAGGUGGGGAAAUGGCUCACCUAGGCGACGAUCCCUAGCUGGUCUGAGCGGAUGACGAGCAACAUUGGAGUGGAGACACGGUCCAGACUCCUACGGACGGCAGCGGUGGGGAAUAUUGCACAAUGGGCGCAGGCCUGAUGUAGCCAUGCCGCGUGUGUGAGGAAGGCCUUCGGGUUGUAAAGCACUUUCAGCGAGAAGGCGUUACUCGCAGAAGAAGCACCGGCUAACUCCGUGCCAGCAGCCGCGGUAAUAC
rnacentral:rRNA from 1 species